rnacentral:tmRNA from 1 species
GGGGGCGCAAUGGCUUCGACAGGGAGUAUGAGCUUCGGCAAGCGAGCAGCGGCACUGCGGAACCGCUAUAAAAUCCACAGACAUAAAAACAAACGACAACAAUAAAACUGUUGCCAUCGCUGCCUAAGCAGUGAUCGUUCCUUCCGGAAGUACCACGGUCCGGAAGGGGCGUCGAUCAGUGGUGAACAUGAACGGAGGAAUGUCUUGACCUCCGUCACGAACUAAAGACUACCGAAACACAAGGUCUGCUGUCGGACAUUGUGCGGGGGGAAUCCUAAAUCGGCAGCUGCGCUCGGAGAAAACCGUUGUAAGUGCUUUUUGGACAGGGGUUCGAUUCCCCUCGCCUCCA